rnacentral:sRNA from 1 species
AAGAAUAAGAACAACAACAACAA